rnacentral:rRNA from 1 species
GACGAACGCUGGCGGCGUGCUUAACACAUGCAAGUCGAACGGAAAGGCCCUGCUUUUGUGGGGUGCUCGAGUGGCGAACGGGUGAGUAACACGUGAGUAACCUGCCCUUGACUUUGGGAUAACUUCAGGAAACUGGGGCUAAUACCGGAUAGGAGCUCCUGCUGCAUGGUGGGGGUUGGAAAGUUUCGGCGGUAGGGGAUGGACUCGAGGCUUAUCAGCUUGUUGGUGGGGUAGUGGCUUACCAAGGCUUUGAAGGGUAGCCGGCCUGAGUGGGUGACCGGGCACAUUGGUACUGAGGUACGGCCCAGACUCCUACGGGAGGCAGCAGUGGGGAAUAUUGCACAAUGGGCGGAAGCCUGAUGCAGCAACGCCGCGUGCGGAAUGACGGCCUUCGGGUUGUAAACCGCUUUCGCCUGUGACGAAGCGUGAGUGACGGUAAUGGGUAAAGAAGCACCGGCUAACUACGUG